GAAUGGUACUCCACAUCACAUCAUCAUCAUCACUAUUGAACACCCCAAUACAUGUGACGUGAUACGAAAUGAAAUGCUAAUUGUUUCAAACGCGGGCUGUAAAAUGCUUUGUGAUAGGUCAUUUGCUCAUCCAAACAGCUUUAUAAACUGGAUUUCCACCGUACAACAAUUCUCAAUGAUGGCUGACCUGUCGCUUUUAGAAGAUGCAUAUGCGCCCUUGAGAAGGGAAAGAGUAUUUCAAGAUAGGUGAUAUCUUCUGAAUGAAUCGGAUGAAUGGCUGAUGAGCAGAUUCCGUCUUCCAAGGCAUCUUCUCCUGGAGCUGUGCAAUAACCUGGAGCCCUACCUCCAACGUGAGACCCAGCGGUCAAGGGCCUUACCUGUUCCAGUCCAGGUUCUCUCCACACUGGGGUUCUUGGCCACUGGAACCUUUCAACGGGAGAUUGCUGACAGGUCUGGUAUAUCCCAACCCACCAUGACCCGCGUGCUGUCAUCCGUGCUGGCUGCCAUCAGGACUCUCAUCCCAUACUACAUACAAUUCCCAUACGAAAAUGCCCAGCAAACAAUGAUUAAAAGAGGGUUUUAUGAGAUUGCUGGGAUUCCAAAUGUCAUAGGUGCAAUUGACUGUACCCACGUGCGUCUGAAACCACCAUCGGUUAAUGAUUACGCAUACAUCAACCGCAAAAAAUUAUCAUUCAGUCAAUGUGCAAAUUAUUUGUGAUGCCAGACUCUGCCUAUUAAAUGUUGUCGCACGAUGGCCUGGAGGCACCCACGAUGCCUUCAUUUUUUAGCACAGCAGCGUACGCAGACGGCUGCAGGAGGGCGCAUUGAGGGGUCAUGGUUAUCUUUUAGGUAAGUACUAAGAGCAAAUUUAUUUUGCUAAAUAUAUUUGUUUCAUAACCUCUCUUUUCCCCUUUAGGUGACAGGGGUUAUCCUCUUUUAAACUCUUUGAUCACCCCUGUGCCAAAUCCCGUGACGCAUCAGGAGCGCAACUUCAACCACACGCACGCACAAACACGAGCCACUGUGGAGCGCUGCGUGGGGCUCCUAAAAGGUCGAUGGCUCUGCCUGGCACAUGCGGGGGGCACGUUGCUCUAUUCGCCAAACCCAGAAGUGCCAGUGGAGCAGUGGGCAGCACCACCGGCUUUAGGAGCUAUUCAGCUCAGACGGGACCUUGUUCGGCGGUUUUAAUGGACCUCAUCCGUCAGGACCCUUGGCCGUGGCGCACGGGAGGCUGGUGGACGGGACUCUGCUUCCCCCGCUUGCACCUGCUCAGGCUCUGGCGCAAGGAUAGGCUCAGGCUCCUGGAUGGGCUGAGGGGGAGAUGCCUCGAGGGCGCUGGGGCCUGCGGUGCCAUCAUCUGCAAAACA